GACGAACCGUGCGAACGUUGUUCGGAAUCACUGGGCUUAAAGGGCGCGUAGGCGGUUCAUCAAGUCCGGGGUGAAAUCUUUCGGCUUAACCGGAAAAGUGCCUUGGAUACUGAUGAGCUGGAGGGAGGUAGGGGGAGCUGGAACUUCCAGUGGAGCGGUGAAAUGCGUUGAUAUUGGAAGGAACUCCGGUGGCGAAAGCGAGCUCCUGGACCUCUUCUGACGCUGAUGCGCGAAAGCUAGGGGAGCAAACGGG
rnacentral:rRNA from 1 species